AUACGGAUGGUGCGAGCGUUGUUCGGAAUUACUGGGCGUAAAGGGCGCGUAGGCGGCGAUGUAAGUCAAAGGUGAAAGUCCUCGGCUUAACCGGGGAAGUGCAUCUGAAACUGCAUUGCUUGAGUAUGGGGGAGGAAAGUGGAAUUCCCGGUGUAGAGGUGAAAUUCGUAGAGAUCGGGAGGAAUACCGGUGGCGAAGGCGACUUUCUGGACCAAUACUGACGCUGAGGCGCGAAAGCGUGGGGAGCAAACAGGAUUAGAAACCCUAGUAGUCC
rnacentral:rRNA from 1 species